UGCUGUGCCAGACUUCGGACUGUCCCUCUUCCAACCGCGUUCAUUUCUUCCAUCCUGGGCUCCUUUCUCACCACACAGCUCUGAAAAGGUGAGAACACUUUGAGAGGCAUGGCUGAGACCAGCAUUGCCCACAACGCUCAGCACUGCCAAAAGUAGUCAUGGACCUGCCUGUGAUAUCCCCCCAUGGCCGUUGUUACGAGGACCAGUCUCCAGCUGCUGUGUCUCUUAGGGACCAUCGCUGCCUGUUGGUGUGAUGGCUGUCUUGAACAGACAUGGUAUCUGACUCCUUGCAGCUUACCUCCUGGCCUAAUGAUAGGUAACAACAGAACAAUUCAUCCAGGAACAACUUGUUCUCUACCUGCUUGGAUGGGGAGAAAAGAGUUGGUGGUGGGGUACAGAACUUUCUAA
rnacentral:lncRNA from 1 species